UGGCAGAACACUGAUAAAAUAUGACACUUGAAAUAUUACAGUAUAUACAUAUGCUCUUCCGAAAUUCUUCAGAGAUACUCUUCCAUCAGCAUUUUUCUGGCAUUCUCACCAUUGAUUUCACUAGCAUAUUUCUAGUGGCUUUCAUCUCGGUAUAGGGGAAAUGGUUUUGUUCCUCUUCUGUUGUAGCAUGCACCUUCGAUGGCCAUAAGAUAAAGGAGUACAGCUCCCAGGGACCCACCAGAAUGGACAGGAUCUGAUGGACAGGACCCACCAGAAUGGACAGGAUAUUGAACCCUUAAUCCCACAGUUUUCAUGAGAGUAGUAGCUGGCUUCAGUCUACAUGUGGUUGUCUGCACAUUUUUUUUACUUGUUCUGGCAUGUGGCAAUUCCCUGUAGCAGGAAAGCUGGGGUAGAGAAUGCUUUGCUCAAGAAGGGUUUUUAGGGUCCUCCGAGUGUCUGUGUAUCCCAUUGUAUUACCAUUAAAGUCAAUAGGAGAUUAGUUCUGA